ensembl:lncRNA LINC01091 long intergenic non-protein coding RNA 1091
AUAGAAAGAAAAAGAUUUUGAGACUCAGUCUCAUUUUUGGCAGUUAAGCCAGAUCUGCUGUUAGAGGAGAAUUCUUCUGUCCUAGCUGUGUCUCUGUGAUCUGUGGAUGAGGGUGGGAAAGCACCACUCAGUCAAUUGGGGUGUACAAAAUGGAGUUUGAGAAGGUCUCACAUCCAGGUUGUUUUGAAGCAAAGUCCAAGCAUUGUAUCACUUCAUCUGCAAAUAUUUCAAUAAGUACCCAAAAGUGGUUGGACUGAGUCCCAUGAAGCCAGAUCACUUCUGACUGCAAGGAGCUUGGAAAAGCAAGUAUCUGGAUCUUUUACCAGCUAAAUUUGGAGUCUAAGACAGAAGAAAACUGCAGAAGAUUGCUACCCGUUCAAGUAGAAAAACUCAAGCUGGAAAAUUAGCACAGCUGGAAAGGCUAAUGAACUUAGCAUUUAAAAAUGCUUGUAGAGCCGCCAGAUCUACCCCUCAAUCCCAGAGGUAGCUGUUUUUGACAUAAUCAACCCAAUCAUGAAACUUCAGAACCAUUUAAAUAUCACAGUGGUGAAAUAGAUUUGUUUGUACCACGACCUUCACAAUUUUUCUCACGAUUGUCUUUCACCACCCAUCAUUUGCUCCUGACAAAGUGCCAUUUCUUAUUUUCUCUUUAAAUAGACAAGUGGCAAAUUGACCAGCAAGGUAGCUGGCCAGGGUUAGAACUCUGUUAUUGAAUUCCUAUGGUGGGAGUGAAAACAAAAAUACUGAUGGAUACCUAUGUUAUGCCUACAAUUAACAGAGUAAACAUCUUAAUAGGCAUAGAAGACACAAACAGAUGUUCUAAUUGCAUGUCUGUGAGAAACUGAUGUUUACUAGUUCCACUCUGGCUUGGCCUUUGAGACCUCAGGAAGUUUCUCUCCCAGUGGGGAUUUCAGUGAUUUAUUGAUUUCAGUACAAUGAAUAUUUCAGAGACUCGCAGGAUUUUUAAGAGGUUAAAUACAUCCUUACAAAGGUUAGCAUUAUUCACGCUUGAAGGGAAUGCUUACUCUACUUUAACCAGGGUAGCUAUGGCCACAUUUGCCACAUUCUUGCCUAAGUGGGAGAGAAGAUGGAUGGGGUAAUGGAAGGGACUUUCUAAUAGAAAUUGUAGAAAUAAAACAUUGGCACAGAA